rnacentral:lncRNA from 1 species
GUUAGCUUUGUGCCGUUUCUUAAUACCCCAUGAUGGAUUUUAAAAAGUUAAGGGCCUAUUUGGAUAAUUGGGUAGAAAUUCCUAUAAAACUCAUGGUUUGGGCCAGUCAUAGGAUCAUAAGCUGAGCUAGCUCUAUAUUCAUAACUACCUAAGAAUAGCUUUGAAGUAGGCCGGCUUGAAUCCUAUGGGAACAAAAAUGUCUUAUUCAUAACUACAUAGGAACA